GAGGUUCGGUGGUGGAUCGGGUAAGCGUGCAAUUCUCUCCGGAUUGCGGGAGCUUGCUCCUUGAUUCUCCGGUGGACGGGUGAGCCAUGCCUAGGAAUCUGCCGGGGGGGGGGGGACACCGUUUCGAAUCGACCGCUAUGCCCCCCCACCCCCUGCCGGAGAAACGGGGGGACCUUCGGGCCUUGCUAUCUUUUAUGAGCCUAGGUCGGAUUACCUAGUUGGUGGGGUAAUGGUAAACCAAGGCGACGAUCCGUAACUGGUCUGAGAGGAUGAUCAGUCACACUGGAACUGAGACACGGUCCAGACUCCUACGGGAGGCAGCAGUGGGGAAUAUUGGACAAUGGGCGAAAGCCUGAUCCAGCCAUGCCGCGUGUGUGAAGAAGGUCUUCGGAUUGUAAAGCACUUUAAGUUGGGAGGAAGGGCAGUAAGUUAAUACCUUGCUGUUUUGACGUUACCGACAGAAUAAGCACCGGCUAACUCUGUGCCAGCAGCCGCGGUAAUACAGAGGGUGCAAGCGUUAAUCGGAAUUACUGGGCGUAAAGCGCGCGUAGGUGGUUUGUUAAGUUGGAUGUGAAAGCCCCGGGCUCACCCUGGGAAACUGCAUCCAAAACUGGCAAGCUAGAGUACGGUAGAGGGUGGUGGAAUUUCCUGUGUAGCGGUGAAAUGCGUAGAUAUAGGAAAGGACACCAGUGGCGAAGGCGACCACCUGGACUGAUACUGACACUGAGGUGCGAAAGCGUGGGGAGCAAACAGGAUUAAAUACCCUGUAGUCACCCCGUAACGAUGUCACUAGCCGUUGGAAUCCUUGAAAUUUAGGGGCCACUUACGCAUUAAUUGACGCCUGGGGAGUACGGCGCAAGUUAAACUCAAUUGAUUGCCGGGGCCCGCACAACGGGGGAACAGUGGGUUAAUUC
rnacentral:rRNA from 1 species